UAACGAAGGUUCAUUAGCAGUACUAUUGAUUGGACUUUAAUUUUUAAUCAGAUAAGUGCAAUGAUUAAAUUCUUAGAAUUAAAAGUAUUGGGAUUAAUUUUCAAAAGUUGGAAGAGUAUAAGGAUUGAGCAUAAAUUAAACAAAAAAUUGAGGGCAAUAGACCAUUAUUUUCUUUUUAGAAAAGGAAAACCGGAGUCAGUGCUUGAACCACACAAUAGGAGCAUUUUUCACUUUGGAUGCCUUUUAUUCUAUUUCAAAAAAGAACCGGUAAAGUAGGAGAAUAAAAUUAAAGGGUAUAAUGGCUACUGUGAUUUCUUCUGGUGCUACAACCGGUGAGGCUGAGGACGGUGGUUCGCUAGAAGAUUGCUCUACCAAAAAAGUUUGAAACAAGGAUCAACGAACAAAGUUGAAUAUGUCGAUUACGAAGAAUUUGAUUCAAACGCCAAUAUUGACCUGGAAAAACAAAUUAGUAGGAGGUUAAUCGGUAUCAGAAAGGCCGAAUGAGACUCAAGAGAUGGAACUGGGUCAUGAUCUGGAGUUUGUAGAAGGGGAUAUUAAGAAAUCGACCAUUACCAGAAUCUCAUCUAUUGAUUUCUCAGAAAGGGUCAACUAGUUGCUUAUUAAGGACACGACCUUGACAGUCGUUGUCAAGCUCUUAGGCCGAAAUAUUGUUGUAAAACCUUUUUCAACUCUUCCUUAACCUUUAAUUCAAACUGACUUAAGGUGUUGGACCCCGAUCUAUCCAUUUCAUUUUGAAUCUCCGCAAGUUUCUUCAUCAAAAGCCUCUUGCGGGUGCCAAUAUUGACGUAGAUAGAUUUACUCUACCCCUUAAUAUUCAAAGUAAACUGUUGGAUAGCCUCUGUCAUAUUACCCUUGAAAACCCAAUUUUCCUUGACAAAAUUUGAAAAGUUACAGGAAACUGAAAGGCCAUCCCCUAGGUAAGUCGACCUUUGAAUUGAGAGAAAGAAGCAGUGAUCUGUGAUCAGAUUUGAGCCUUAGGAAGAUGGAAGAUUGAGCAACUAGGAAAAACUCUAAUCCAAGUUUCAUUUUCGAUCGCUCUAUCUAGCCUCUCAAAUAUUCCUCAUCGAUGCCAAGUGAAAGGUGGUCCCUUAAAACCUAAAUCCUGCAAAUUAUUCACAUCGAGAAAGUCUCCAAAAGGAGAACAUCCAAUUCCAUCUCUUUUAACUCCUCUUUUAUCUUUGAUGAAAGUAAAGCAUUAAAAUCACUAAUAGCAGCCCAAGGAACCCCUCUAGGCGGUAUAACCGUAUUAAAACCCUCCCAAUGUUUUCUCUUUUUUGUUUGUCAAGACUUCCAUAAACAAAAACAACAAUAACAACCUAGGUUUGACCCCUCUUUAAAAUCCAAACAACAAUAAAUUAGAGGUGGUUACAAAUUACCUCAACUGAAAUAUUAUCCUUCCAGCCAAGCCAGAUACCCCUUGAAAAACCAAUACCCUCUACUCUAUGUGAAUUCUGAAAACCCAAACUGGCAAUGAUCUUAUCUACUUUGUAACCACUUACUCUUGUCUGUAUUCUCGAAAAAUACAGUGAAAAUUUUUAUUUGACAUCCAUGACAAUUCCCAAAAAACACAGAUAAAUCUAUAAAAAAUAAUUAAAAGAAAUAAAAAACCAAUCUUACUGUUUGGGAGCCAGGACAUCCUCCUCCUGCUUUUUAUUAGCUGCUGAAGACUCUUUGUCAACCUCCUUGUUAAAUUGAGCACUAAUUAGCUAAAUCAUAAAGCUCAUCGAGUUUGUCAAGGAUACCCGAGCGAUUCCAUUUUGCUUAAAACGGU
rnacentral:lncRNA from 1 species